GACGAACGCUGGCGGCGUGCUUAACACAUGCAAGUCGAACGGUAAGGCCCUGCUUUUGUGGGGUGCUUGAGUGGCGAACGGGUGAGUAACACGUGAGUAACCUGCCCUCUACUUUGGGAUAACGUCCGGAAACUGGUGCUAAUACUGGAUAGUCGCUCCUCUUCCCUUGUGGGUUGGUGAAAGGUUCUGUGGUUGGGGAUGGUCAGCCGGCUUGUGAGCUGGUUGUUGGGGUAGUGGUUUACUACGACUUCGACGGAUAGUCGGCCCGGGAGGGUGACGGGUGAGAUAGGGACUAGAAUACGACCGGGAGUAGUAGGGGAGGAAGCAGUGGGGAGGAUUGAAGAAUGAGGGGGAGACUGAGGCAGAAGCGCGGCGGGCGGGAUGACGGCAUUCGGGUUGUAAACCGCUUAAGCCGGUGAAAAAGCGGGAGUGACGGUAAUGGGUAAAGAAGCACCGGCUAACUACGUG
rnacentral:rRNA from 1 species